AUGUAUUUAUGGGACCUUGCAUUGCGAGAGGGAUGCAUUGGAUACAUUAAGUAUGUACUUAAAAGCAGCUUGAUGAAACUUCUGAUUUUCGGUUGGGCAUUUCAUAUAUUAGAGUUCAUCCCGGUGGAAAGGAAGUGGGGAGUUGAUGAGUCGACUAUGCAUCAAAUGCUUUCUAUAUUCAAGGACCCGCAAGAUCCUCUAUGGCUUGUUAUUUUCCGCGGGGGCACUCAUUUUACUGAACAGAAGUGCAUUCGAAGUCAAAAAUAUGAUGCCGAACAAUUGAAGUAA